UACGGAGGGAGCUAGCGUUGUCCGGAAUUACUGGGCGUAAAGCGUGCGCAGGCGGUCUGUUAAGACAGAUGUGAAAUCCCCGGGCUUAACCUGGGAACUGCAUUUGUGACUGGCAGGCUAGAGUAUGGCAGAGGGGGGUAGAAUUCCACGUGUAGCAGUGAAAUGCGUAGAGAUGUGGAGGAAUACCGAUGGCGAAGGCAGCCCCCUGGGCCAAUACUGACGCUCAUGCACGAAAGCGUGGGGAGCAAACAGG
rnacentral:rRNA from 1 species